UAAAACACCUACAUCUGGUUGUACCCUGAUGAAAAAAGAAAGAAGACAAUCUCUUUAUCAUGUCUGUCUUUUGUUUUGAAGUUGUUACUUAAAUUUUGUUAAAAUAAAUUGUGGUUUAUUGCAUUAUUUUCCUCAUUUCUUCACCUCUUCUUGCGUCUGUUCCCUUGCUAUGGCCUCGUCAUCACAGAUGGCAUGUACUCAUUUCAUCUUGUCUCUGGGCUUGGCUAUAUGACUUGCUUUGGCUGAUGACACAUGAGCAAAAGUCACAGUUUGUAUUCUAAGUGCAAGCCUGGAAGACCUCACAUGUUCUUGCUUGUUUUCUUUUCUUUCUGGCCGAUCAUGGAAAUAACAUAACCAUGGGUAGCCUGCUGGUCAGCAGAGCCACCCUAGGUAAUUAAUAGACAUGCAGUGACAAAAAGAGCUUCCCAGUUGAGCCAAGCCUAUGUCAAUCAGAUUCUAGUAGAUUCACAGAUGCAUGAGCAGUAAGAAAAGUUUACACUUAUUGGAGUGAUUUGUUAUGUAGCAAUAAGUAACCAAUACAAUACGUUUUAAAAUAUUUUCUCUGCGAUGAGGCUUCCUCUUUGAAGAUCACAGGUGAGAAGAUUAGGUGCUUUCUCAGAAGCCCAGCAACCUGAUGGGAGUGUGGAGUGAGCAAGACCCAAAUCGGAGCUUCAUCCCUGCAUGGUUCAUUUUGCUUAUUUGGCAAACUUGCCCUGCAGAAUCUACUCAAGCUUCCUCAGUUUCUCAAAUCAUUCUUGGGCAACAAAUGAACAAGAAAGAGGACGUCUUAUUAUCUGGUGUCUGGCUUGCUGAUUUAAUAACCUAGGAGACAGUGUUUGAAGAACACAAACUCUAAAGUCCUUCACUUAAAAAAAAAAAAAAACUUUCCCAAAUUGCUUACCAUUUGGAAAAAUUGCCUUACCUUCUUCAGUCAUCUCUGAUGUUGUCAUCCUCAGAGUAAGAAGUACGCAUUCAUAAGGAACCAUAACGUCCUUCAGGAAAUCCAGUACACCCUACAAUUUUACCUAAAACUUUGAUGUUGUUUUUUCUGAGCAUUUUACCUUCUAGGGAAAUGGAUCUCAUGCUGUUUAUCAGUUUCUGAAAGUUGUUAUUAAUCUCCCCUCAUCCCAAAAUUGAAGAACUUUGCUUAAAUCUUAGAAUCAGAACUUUGGCUCCAGUAAUAAAGACUUUUCAAUAUCUUUAUCUGCCAUUGAGUCUUACCUAACGAAAUAAAGCCUCCAAAGUGGGAAUUUGAAAUGUUUUAGAAUCUUUUUUUUUCCUUUUGACAUAGUGAUUGGUGGGAUGCUACAGGCAGUUAGUGGUUAGGGUCCAGAAAUGCCAGACAUCUUGCAGUGAGAGGGAUAGUCUGUACAAGGAAGAAUUCUCACAUGUUCUGACUAACACUGGAUAUUAUUACAGGUGAAAACAUUGGAAUCUUGUGAACCUCAACCUGUGUUUUACAUAUGUAUACAUGAAGCAUCCAAUGGCAUUACACCUCAGCCAGAGAAGAAGCUCUUAAG
rnacentral:lncRNA from 1 species